rnacentral:rRNA from 1 species
AGCGAACGCUGGCGGCAGGCCUAACACAUGCAAGUCGAACGAACCUUUCGGGGUUAGUGGCGGACGGGUGAGUAACACGUGGGAACGUGCCUUUAGGUUCGGAAUAACUCAGGGAAACUUGUGCUAAUACCGAAUGUGCCCUUCGGGGGAAAGAUUAAUCGCCUUUAGAGCGGCCCGCGUCUGAUUAGCUAGUUGGUUGAGGUAAUGGCUCACCAAGGCGACGACCAGUAGCUGGUCUGAGAGGAUGAUCAGCCACAUUGGGACUGAGACACGUCUCAGACUCCUACGUUGCACAGCGGUGAUGUAUCUCGCACUGUCGAGUUGAGUCUUACUCAGCCCUGUUGGAUGAACAAUUACGGUGUUAAGAAUAUAAGAAGAGUAAGCAUCAGCACAUGAUGACGGUAACGGAUGAAGAAGACGAGGCUAACUACGUG